GAUGCCAGCCCCGUGCUCAUGGCUUCUCAGUCUCCAGAACUGAGACAUAAAUGUCUUUUCACUAGAAAUUACUCGGCGAUAGUCCUCUACAGCAAUACUGAAUGAAGCCAGAGGGAGGCGGUGAGAACUCCCUGGGGGAGCCAAGGAGCACUGGGACAGUACCGCCAAAAAUGUCUCAGAUGAGAGUAGAGCUGGAGGCCCAGAGGAGCCUCCGUACACAGCAGCUUCUCUGCCUACAAGGCAGUCCUGUGUUUUGCAGGUGGCUGAAAAUGGAGCCUCAGAACGAAGCUUUCUACAUACAGAGCUAAACGUAGCCAGGGAGACUCCAAGAAGCUUCUGACGUGGAGAAGGGCAGCAAGGAAACUCCAGGGAGGGCCUAUUAGCACAGGAUGCAGUCGGGCUGAGUGCAAAUCUCCCCUCUGUCACCACAUGGUCAACUGUGUGUCCUUAAGAGGCUGGCUUGUGCCCGUUCACUCACUGGUCAAGAGCGAUAUGGAGGAACUAUUGGCAUCCCUCCAGUAUCUACCCCUGCCUUCUCCCAACAGGGCGCAGAUACAUAAUGCUGUUACAAUGCUGGCCAGGAAACAACAUCCCAGCCUCCCGGGAGCUGGGUAUAAGUAGGGAUGACGAGAGUAUAUCGUGUGCCUUAUGCCAUCUCAUCAUCCUAGCAAGUGUCCAAAAUCAACACCGGGACUCCCAUGUGUCAGCUGAAGCAAUGGUUGUUCAACAAAAGGCUUGACAGCCGUGGCCUGAGAGAU
rnacentral:sRNA from 1 species